CAACAGGGAUUGCCUCAGUAACGGCGAGUGAAGCGGCAACAGCUCAAAUUUGAAAUCUGGCUCCUUCGGGGUCCGAGUUGUAAUUUGUAGAGGAUGUUUCGGGUGCGGCGCCGGUCGAAGUCCCUUGGAACAGGGUGUCACAGAGGGUGAGAGUCCCGUACGUGGCUGGCGUUCAAGUCCAUGUGAAACUCCUUCGACGAGUCGAGUUGUUUGGGAAUGCAGCUCAAAAUGGGUGGUAAAUUUCAUCUAAAGCUAAAUACCGGCCAGAGACCGAUAGCGCACAAGUAGAGUGAUCGAAAGAUGAAAAGCACUUUGGAAAGAGAGUUAAAAAGUACGUGAAAUUGUUGAAAGGGAAGCGCUUGCGACCAGACCUGCCCGUGGGUGCUCAGCGGUGGUUCUCCACCGUGCACUCGCCCACGAUCAGGCCAGCAUCAGUUCUGGCGACCGGAUAAAGGCCCUUGGAAUGUAGCUCCUCUCGGGGAGUGUUAUAGCCUCGGGUGUCAUACGGCCAGCCGGGACUGAGGACCGCGCUUCGGCAAGGAUGCUGGCGUAAUGGUUGUAAGCGACCCGUCUUGAAACACGGACCAAGGAGUCUAACAUCUAUGCGAGUGUUUGGGUGUCAAACCCAUGCGCGCAAUGAAAGUGAACGAUGGUCAGAGCCCUUCCCGGGUGCAUGAUCGACCGAUCUUGAAGUUUACGGAUGGAUUUGAGUAUGAGCAUAGCUGUUGGGACCCGAAAGAUGGUGAACUAUGCCUGAAUAGGGUGAAGCCAGAGGAAACUCUGGUGGAGGCUCGCAGCGGUUCUGACGUGCAAAUCGAUCGUCAAAUUUGGGUAUAGGGGCGAAAGACUAAUCGAA
rnacentral:rRNA from 1 species